GACAACGCUGGCGGCGUGCUUAACACAUGCAAGUCGAACGGAGAUAUAUCAGUAGCAAUACGGAUAUAUCUUAGUGGCGGACGGGUGAGUAACGCGUGAGCAACCUACCUUUUACAGGGGGAUAACACAGGGAAACCUGUGCUAAUACCGCAUAACAUACUAUUGGGGCAUCCCGAUGGUAUCAAAGGAGCAAUCCGGUAAAAGAUGGGCUCGCGUCCGAUUAGAUAGUUGGUGGGGUAACGGCCUACCAAGUCAACGAUCGGUAGCCGGACUGAGAGGUUGGCCGGCCACAUUGGGACUGAGACACGGCCCAGACUCCUACGGGAGGCAGCAGUGGGGAAUAUUGGUCAAUGGGGGAAACCCUGAACCAGCGACGCCGCGUGAAGGAAGAAGGCCUUCGGGUUGUAAACUUCUUUGACAGGGGACGAUAAUGACGGUACCCUGAGAACAAGCCACGGCUAACUACGUG
rnacentral:rRNA from 1 species